CCAAUAGCGUAUAUUAAAGUUGUUGCAGUUAAAAAGCUCGUAGUUGAAUUUCGGGAUUGACACAUCGGUCGUGCCUUAAGGGGUAUGAACUGGUGUAGUCAAUUUCUCACCUUCUGGAGAACCGCGAUGCCCUUAAUUGGGUGUCGCGGGGAACCAGGACCUUUACUUUGAAAAAAUUAGAGUGUUUAAAGCAGGCAUUUUGCUUGAAUACAUUAGCAUGGAAUAAUAAAAUAGGACGGCAUGAUUCUAUUUUGUUGGUUUCUAGGAUCACCGUAAUGAUUAAUAGGGAUAGUUGGGGGCAUUAGUAUUCAAUUGUCAGAGGUGAAAUUCUUGGAUUUAUUGAAGACUAACUACUGCGAAAGCAUUUGCCAAGGAUGUUUUCAUUAAUCAAGAACGAAAGUUAGGGGAUCGAAGACGAUCAGAUACCGUCGUAGUCUUAACCAUAAACUAUGCCGACUAGGAAUCAGACGAUGUUAAUUUUUUAAUGACUCGUUUGGCGCCUUACG
rnacentral:rRNA from 1 species